AUUGAACGCUGGCGGCAGGCCUAACACAUGCAAGUCGAACGGUAACAGGAAGAAGCUUGCUUCUUUGCUGAUGAGUGGCGGACGGGUGAGUAAUGUCUGGGAAACUGCCUGAUGGAGGGGGAUAACUACUGGAAACGGUAGCUAAUACCGCAUAACGUUGCAAGACCAAAAAGGGGGACCUUCGGGCCUCUUGCCAUCGGAUGUGCCCAGAUGGGAUUAGCUAGUAGGUGGGGUAACGGCUCACCUAGGCGACGAUCCCUAGCUGGUCUGAGAGGAUGACCAGCCACACUGGAACUGAGACACGGUCCAGACUCCUACGGGAGGCAGCAGUGGGGAAUAUUGCACAAUGGGCGCAAGCCUGAUGCAGCCAUGCCGCGUGUAUGAAGAAGGCCUUCGGGUUGUAAAGUACUUUCAGCGGGGAGGAAGGGAGUAAAGUUAAUACCUUUGCUCAUUGACGUUACCCGCAGAAGAAGCACCGGCCAACUCCGUG
rnacentral:rRNA from 1 species